rnacentral:rRNA from 1 species
CACGUAGGGUGCGAGCGUUGUCCGGAAUUAUUGGGCGUAAAGAGCUCGUAGGCGGUGUGUCGCGUCGGCCGUGAAAACCUGCAGCUUAACUGUGGGCUUGCGGUCGAUACGGGCAUCACUGGAGUUCGGCAGGGGAGACUGGAAUUCCUGGUGUAGCGGUGAAAUGCGCAGAUAUCGAGAGGAACACCUGCGGCGAAGGCGGGUUGCUGGGCUGAUACUGACGCUGAGGCGCGAAAGCCAGGGGAGCGAACGGG